rnacentral:rRNA from 1 species
AGUGAACGCUGGCGGUAGGCCUAACACAUGCAAGUCGAACGGCAGCACAGUAAGAGCUUGCUCUUACGGGUGGCGAGUGGCGGACGGGUGAGGAAUACAUCGGAAUCUACUUUUUCGUGGGGGAUAACGUAGGGAAACUUACGCUAAUACCGCAUACGACCUACGGGUGAAAGCAGGGGAUCUUCGGACCUUGCGCGAUUGAAUGAGCCGAUGUCGGAUUAGCUAGUUGGCGGGGUAAAGGCCCACCAAGGCGACGAUCCGUAGCUGGUCUGAGAGGAUGAUCAGCCACACUGGACUUGCACCGCGGUUCAGAAUCCAACGGGAGGCCGCGGCGGGGAAUAGUGGACAAUGUGCAGAAGAUUGAGCCACCGAUACCGGAUAAGGCAAGAAGGCCUUAUCGUUCUAGAGUCCUUUGGCCGCCAAAGAAAACCAUCGCGUGAAUACCACGCUGCUCCGACCGUACCCAACGAACAAGCACAGGCUACCUCCGUG